CUCAGAUUGAACGCUGGCGGCAGGCCUAACACAUGCAAGUCGAGCGGAUGAGAGGAGCUUGCUCCUCGAUUCAGCGGCGGACGGGUGAGUAAUGCCUAGGAAUCUGCCUAGUAGUGGGGGACAACGUUUCGAAAGGAACGCUAAUACCGCAUACGUCCUACGGGAGAAAGUGGGGGAUCUUCGGACCUCACGCUAUUAGAUGAGCCUAGGUCGGAUUAGCUAGUUGGUAGGGUAAAGGCCUACCAAGGCGACGAUCCGUAACUGGUCUGAGAGGAUGAUCAGUCACACUGGAACUGAGACACGGUCCAGACUCCUACGGGAGGCAGCAGUGGGGAAUAUUGGACAAUGGGCGAAAGCCUGAUCCAGCCAUGCCGCGUGUGUGAAGAAGGCCUUCGGGUCGUAAAGCACUUUAAGUUGGGAGGAAGGGCUUACAGCGAAUACCUGUGAGUUUUGACGUUACCGACAGAAUAAGCACCGGCUAACUUCGUGCCAGCAG
rnacentral:rRNA from 1 species